rnacentral:rRNA from 1 species
GUGGGGAAUCUUAGACAAUGGGGGAAACCCUGAUCUAGCCAUGCCGCGUGAGCGAUGAAGGCCUUAGGGUUGUAAAGCUCUUUCAGCUGGGAAGAUAAUGACUGUACCAGCAGAAGAAGCCCCGGCUAACUCCGUGCCAGCAGCCGCGGUAAUACGGAGGGGGCUAGCGUUGUUCGGAAUUACUGGGCGUAAAGCGCACGUAGGCGGACCGGAAAGUCAGAGGUGAAAUCCCAGGGCUCAACCUUGGAACUGCCUUUGAAACUCCUGGUCUUGAGGUCGAGAGAGGUGAGUGGAAUUCCGAGUGUAGAGGUGAAAUUCGUAGAUAUUCGGAGGAACACCAGUGGCGAAGGCGGCUCACUGGCUCGAUACUGACGCUGAGGUGCGAAAGCGUGGGGAGCAAACAGGAUUAGAAACCCGGGUAGUCC